rfam:Sorghum bicolor cultivar BTx623 chromosome 4, whole genome shotgun sequence.
AUCCCAUGAUGAGGACAGGCACGAAUGUGCUCCAAGAGACGUUCCCAUGCUUCAGGAAUUGUCUCAAUAGCUUGCUGUUGGAAGCUAGAAAUCUUUCCACGAAGGGC